AGUAGGGCCUGCCCACUGAAGUUUUAAAGGGCCGCAGUAUCUUAACUGUGCAAAGGUAGCAUAAUCAUUAGUUUUUUAAUUGGAAGCUGGAAUGAAUGGUUUGAUGAAAAAAUUUCUGUUUCAAUAUUAAUUUUUUAAAACUUUAUUUUUAAGUUAAAAAGCUUAAAUUUCUAUAAAAGACGAGAAGACCCUAUAGAGUUUAAUUGAUUAGUAAUUAUUUAAAUUUAGAAUUUAUUUUUAUAUAGUUAUUUAUUAAUUUAAUUGGGGUGAUUAAAAAAUUUAAUAAACUUUUUUUAAAUUUUUACAUUAAUUUAUGAAUAAAUGAUCCAUAAAAAUGAUUAAAAGAAU
rnacentral:rRNA from 1 species